rnacentral:rRNA from 1 species
UACGUAGGGUGCAAGCGUUGUCCGGAAUUAUUGGGCGUAAAGAGCUCGUAGGCGGUUUGUCGCGUCGGCUGUGAAAACCUGGGGCUUAACUCCGGGCCUGCAGCCGAUACGGGCAAGCUAGAGUUCGGCAGGGGAGACUGGAAUUCCUGGUGUAGCGGUGAAAUGCGCAGAUAUCAGGAGGAACACCGGUGGCGAAGGCGGGUCUCUGGGCCGAUACUGACACUGAGACG